GGUUCCAUAGUGUAGUGGUUAGCAUGCCUGCCUUACAAGCACAGAGUGCUGGGUUCAAUUCCCAGAGGAACCA